AUUCAAAGUACUGAAAGAAAUAACUGUCAACCAAGAAUUCUAUACGUGGUAAAAUUAUCCUUCAAAAUCAAAGGAGAAAUUAAGACAUUUCCAGAUAAACAACAACAACAAAAUGACAGAGUUCAUUGCUAGUAGGACUGCCCUACAGUAAGUGCUAAAAUGAGUCCUUCAGGCUGAAAUAGAAGGAUGCUACACAGGAACUCAAGUCUUCACAAAGAAAUAAUGACCAUUAAAGCUAAUGAGAAACAGGCUGUCUGGAAAUGUGUCUCGGAGGAAAAUACGGAGCAAAUCUUUAGAAAAUAAAGCUCUCUAGAUUGAUUGAAAAGAUAACAUUUGGUAACACGUUGUAAGCAAAACAUAAUAUCAAGGUGAAAAGAAGGCAAAUCAGAUAUAAAAUUCACUUGGAUGUGUCAACUUGAACUUUGGACGGAGCAAGUAAAGAUAUUGCGAUUUUGGAAAAAAUGUAAUGAAGUAUGAUGGAAAAUUGUCAGGAAUUUAAAAAUGUUUUCCAUUUGAUUGCUGAAGAACAUGAGUUUUGAAGACAUCACAUAUGGUAUGCAGGUUGUAGGUCCUGCAAAGAACUGGAGUAUAGAAAAAUAACUUUGUCAUCACCCUGGAAGGAUGCUACCACUGGUGCCACCACUACUACUAUUAUAAUUUCACAUUUUCAUAGCACUUUCUCUUUCCAUGGCUUCUAUUGCCCCCAAUAUGUUAUCAAAAGAGAACCAGACCUUUCCUUGUGAGCUUUUGUAUGCUUGAUCUCAUUUGCACUUCACAGUUGCUUGAUAAAGGUACAGCAGGUAAUAUCAACGAUAUUUCAGUGGCGGCUCUAAGAGGUUAAAUAAAUUACUUCAUCAAGAGUUCUAGGUUAGUAACAGAAAUCUGCUGAUUUCUACAUUUCUGAUCCAUAAAUGGCCAGUGGAUCCAAAUUUAUGGGCCUUGGACCUUCGGAGUUCUAUAGACUUAUUUCAAACAGGUUUAUAUCCAUACAUAUAUGUCUGUAAACUGAAUACAUAUCACAUUCAUAUCUUUAUGAGUAUUUUUCAAUGUGGUGGGUAAAAUACAAAUUUAUUUUCAAAUUUUGUGACACUAAAGUAAAUUUGUACCAUUAUGUAUUUCCUAAGCAAUGAUUACUAAAGAUAAAAUUAC
rnacentral:lncRNA from 1 species